GACAGAGGGGGCAAGCGUUGCUCGGAAUCACUGGGCGUAAAGGGCGCGUAGGCGGGAUGGCAAGUCGGUCGUGAAAUCCUCGGCUCAACCGAAGAACGUCGGCCGAUACUGCCGUUCUUGAGGGAUGCAGAGGAGAUUGGAAUUCCCGGUGUAGCGGUGAAAUGUGUAGAGAUCGGGAGGAACACCGGUGGCGAAGGCGGGUCUCUAGGCAUCUCCUGACGCUGAGGCGCGAAAGCGUGGGGAGCAAACGGG
rnacentral:rRNA from 1 species